UUAAGCGACUAAGCGUACACGGUGGAUGCCCUGGCAGUCAGAGGCGAUGAAGGGCGUGCUAAUCUGCGAUAAGCGCCGGUAAGGUGAUAUGAACCGUUAUAACCGGCGAUACCCGAAUGGGGAAACCCAGUGUGACUCGUCACACUAUCAUUAACUGAAUCCAUAGGUUAAUGAGGCGAACCGGGGGAACUGAAACAUCUAAGUACCCCGAGGAAAAGAAAUCAACCGAGAUUCCCCCAGUAGCGGCGAGCGAACGGGGAGGAGCCCAGAGCCUGAAUCAGCAUGUGUGUUAGUGGAAGCGUCUGGAAAGGCGCGCGAUACAGGGUGACAGCCCCGUACACAAAAGCGCAUGUGCUGUGAGCUCGAUGAGUAGGGCGGGACACGUGGUAUCCUGUCUGAAUAUGGGGGGACCAUCCUCCAAGGCUAAAUACUCCUGACUGACCGAUAGUGAACCAGUACCGUGAGGGAAAGGCGAAAAGAACCCCGGCGAGGGGAGUGAAAAAGAACCUGAAACCGUGUACGUACAAGCAGUGGGAGCACAGGUUUACCUGUGUGACUGCGUACCUUUUGUAUAAUGGGUCAGCGACUUAUAUUCUGUAGCAAGGUUAACCGAAUAGGGGAGCCGGAGGGAAACCGAGUCUUAAUUGGGCGUUAAGUUGCAGGGUAUAGACCCGAAACCCGGUGAUCUAGCCAUGGGCAGGUUGAAGGUUGGGUAACACUAACUGGAGGACCGAACCGACUAAUGUUGAAAAAUUAGCGGAUGACCUGUGGCUGGGGGUGAAAGGCCAAUCAAACCGGGAGAUAGCUGGUUCUCCCCGAAAGCUAUUUAGGUAGCGCCUCGUGAAUUCAUCUCCGGGGGUAGAGCACUGUUUCGGCUAGGGGGCCAUCCCGGCUUACCAACCCGAUGCAAACUGCGAAUACCGGAGAAUGUUAUCACGGGAGACACACGGCGGGUGCUAACGUCCGUCGUGAAGAGGGAAACAACCCAGACCGCCAGCUAAGGUCCCAAAGUCAUGGUUAAGUGGGAAACGAUGUGGGAAGGCCCAGACAGCCAGGAUGUUGGCUUAGAAGCAGCCAUCAUUUAAAGAAAGCGUAAUAGCUCACUGGUCGAGUCGGCCUGCGCGGAAGAUGUAACGGGGCUAAACCAUGCACCGAAGCUGCGGCAGCGAACGUAUCACUUAAAGCGAUUCAGCGGGUUACGAUUGACGGAGCGAAGCGACGUCAAAGCGUAUACAAAGUCGAGUCGGUUUAAGGAUACGUUCGUUGGGUAGGGGAGCGUUCUGUAAGCCCGUGAAGGUGGCCUGUGAGGGUUGCUGGAGGUAUCAGAAGUGCGAAUGCUGACAUAAGUAACGAUAAAGCGGGUGAAAAGCCCGCUCGCCGGAAGACCAAGGGUUCCUGUCCAACGUUAAUCGGGGCAGGGUGAGUCGACCCCUAAGGCGAGGCCGAAAGGCGUAGUCGAUGGGAAACGGGUUAAUAUUCCCGUACUUGGUGUUACUGCGAAGGGGGGACGGAGAAGGCUAUGUUGGCCGGGCGACGGUUGUCCCGGUUUAAGCGUGUAGGUGUGUGUUCCAGGUAAAUCCGGUUCACUUUAACACUGAGGCGUGACGACGAGGCACUACGGUGCUGAAGCAACAAAUGCCCUGCUUCCAGGAAAAGCCUCUAAGCAUCAGGUAACACGAAAUCGUACCCCAAACCGACACAGGUGGUCAGGUAGAGAAUACCAAGGCGCUUGAGAGAACUCGGGUGAAGGAACUAGGCAAAAUGGUGCCGUAACUUCGGGAGAAGGCACGCUGACACGUAGGUGAAGUGAUUUACUCAUGGAGCUGAAGUCAGUCGAAGAUACCAGCUGGCUGCAACUGUUUAUUAAAAACACAGCACUGUGCAAACACGAAAGUGGACGUAUACGGUGUGACGCCUGCCCGGUGCCGGAAGGUUAAUUGAUGGGGUCAGCGUAAGCGAAGCUCCUGAUCGAAGCCCCGGUAAACGGCGGCCGUAACUAUAACGGUCCUAAGGUAGCGAAAUUCCUUGUCGGGUAAGUUCCGACCUGCACGAAUGGCGUAAUGAUGGCCAGGCUGUCUCCACCCGAGACUCAGUGAAAUUGAACUCGCUGUGAAGAUGCAGUGUACCCGCGGCAAGACGGAAAGACCCCGUGAACCUUUACUAUAGCUUGACACUGAACAUUGAGCCUUGAUGUGUAGGAUAGGUGGGAGGCUUUGAAGUGUGGACGCCAGUCUGCAUGGAGCCGACCUUGAAAUACCACCCUUUAAUGUUUGAUGUUCUAACGUGGACCCGUAAUCCGGGUUGCGGACAGUGUCUGGUGGGUAGUUUGACUGGGGCGGUCUCCUCCUAAAGAGUAACGGAGGAGCACGAAGGUUGGCUAAUCCUGGUCGGACAUCAGGAGGUUAGUGCAAUGGCAUAAGCCAGCUUGACUGCGAGCGUGACGGCGCGAGCAGGUGCGAAAGCAGGUCAUAGUGAUCCGGUGGUUCUGAAUGGAAGGGCCAUCGCUCAACGGAUAAAAGGUACUCCGGGGAUAACAGGCUGAUACCGCCCAAGAGUUCAUAUCGACGGCGGUGUUUGGCACCUCGAUGUCGGCUCAUCACAUCCUGGGGCUGAAGUAGGUCCCAAGGGUAUGGCUGUUCGCCAUUUAAAGUGGUACGCGAGCUGGGUUUAGAACGUCGUGAGACAGUUCGGUCCCUAUCUGCCGUGGGCGCUGGAGAACUGAGGGGGGCUGCUCCUAGUACGAGAGGACCGGAGUGGACGCAUCACUGGUGUUCGGGUUGUCAUGCCAAUGGCACUGCCCGGUAGCUAAAUGCGGAAGAGAUAAGUGCUGAAAGCAUCUAAGCACGAAACUUGCCCCGAGAUGAGUUCUCCCUGAGACUUAGAGUCUCCUGAAGGAACGUUGAAGACGACGACGUUGAUAGGCCGGGUGUGUAAGCGCAGCGAUGCGUUGAGCUAACCGGUACUAAUGAACCGUGAGGCUUAACCUU
rnacentral:rRNA from 1 species